rnacentral:rRNA from 1 species
CGGGAUGAAGCCCUUUGGGGUGUAAACCGCUUUUUUGGGGGAUGAUACGCUCUCGUAAGGGGGCUAAGACAGUACCCCAAGAAUAAGCAUCGGCUAACUACGUGC